rnacentral:rRNA from 1 species
AAACCCUUACCGAAAGCAAUUGGAGGGCAAGUCUGGUGCCAGCAGCCGCGGUAAUUCCAGCUCCAAUAGCGUAUAUUAAAGUUGUUGCAGUUAAAAAGCUCGUAGUUGAAGUUCUGGCUGAUUGACCCUCGAGCUUCGUAGCCGAGGGCUCGUCAGUCAUCCGCUUGCAAAUAUAUGUUCGCCUUUAACCGGGCGGCUAUAUGAGUAAGCAAUUUACCUUGAGAAAAACAGAGUGUUCCAGGCAGGUUUGUCCGGAAUGCAUUAGCAUGGAAUAAUAGAAUAUGACUGAAGUCGAUUUAUUGGUUUGAGGCUUUAGUAAUGAUUAAUAGGAACAGUCGGGGGCAUUGGUACUUGACAGUCAGAGGUGAAAUUCUAGGAUUUGUCAAAGACUAACAAAUGCGAAAGCAUUUGCCAAGGAUGUUUUCAUUAAUCAAGAACGAAAGUUAGGGGAUCAAAGACGAUCAGAUACCGUCCUAGUCUUAACUAUAGACUAUACCGACUCGGAUUCAGAUGAAUCAUAAAGUUCAUUUGGGACCGUAGGAGAAAUCAAAGUUUUUGGGUUCUGGGGGAAGUAUGGUCGCGAGGCUGAAACUUAAAGGAAUUGACGGUUUUGCACCACCAUGGAGUGGAGUCUGCGGCUUAAUUUGACCCAACACUGGGAAACUCAUCAGGGCAAGAAGAUUGUAGGAUUGACAGAUUGAGAGUUCUUUCUUGAUUGGUCUAGUGGUGGUGCAUGGCCGUUCUUAGUUGGUGGAGUGAUUUGUCUGGUUAAUUCCGUUAACGAACGAGACCUUAACCUGCUAACUAGUACACCGAUGACAAAUCGGCGAUACUUCUUAGAGGGACUAUGUGAUGUAAUCACAUGGAAGUUUGAGGCAAUAACAGGUCUGUGAUGCCCUUAGAUGUCCUGAGCUGCACGCGUACUACAAUGGUGCUUUCAACGAGCCUUUCCUGAUCCGAAAGGAUUUGGGUAAUCUUUUAGUGAGCACCGUGCUUGGGAUUGAUCUUUGUAAUUAUGGAUCAUGAACUAGGAAUUCCUAGUAAGCACGUGUCAUCAGCACGUGCUGAUUGCGUCCCUGCAAAAUGUACACACCGCCCGUCGCUAUUACCGAUUGGGUGUAUAGGUGAACCUUCUCGAUAGCCGCAAGGCUAGAAAUUAAGUAAACCUUUGCACCUAGAGGAAAUAAAAGUCGUAACAAGGUUUCCGUAGGUGAACCUGCGGAAG